AGCACAACAACAACAACAGGAAAGUAGUAGCAGAAGAGCAGUGAUUGGUCUUGUUGCUACUGGUUUGGUUUCUUCCUCUUUUGUUCAAGCUGUUCUUGCUGAAGCCAUUCCUAUUAAAGUUGGUGGUCCUCCUGCACCUUCUGGUGGCCUUCGUAUGUAUUCUUUCCUAAUUUAUUAACUUCUUUUCAUUCUCUAAUUUUAGUGCAUGUUUGGAUAGUUUUGAGUUUGACAGAAUCAUGAUGAGUCAUUAUAAUUUCGACCUGAACCACAAUACUACUGUGAUUUUGUCAAACUCAAAGCUAUUCAAACAUGAAAUCUGUCUAUACAGUGAUUUUGACAAAAUCACAGUAGUACUGCAGUUCUGUUGAAAUUAUAAUGACUCACUGUGAUUCUGUCAAACUCAAAACUAUCCGAGCAUGAAAUCCGUCUAUAUAGUGAGUUUGACAAAAUUAGUGGUUCAGCCGAAAUUAUAAUGACUCACCGUGAUUUCAACAGAACCACAAUACUACUGUGAUUUUGUCAAACUCACUAUAUAGACAGAUUUCAUGUUUGAAUAGCUUUGAGUUUGAUAGAAUCACAGUAAGUCAUUAUAACUUUGACCGAAGCACAGUACAACUGUGAUUUUGUCAAACUCACCGUAUAGAAGGAUUUCAUGUUUGAAUAGCUUUGAGUUUGACAAUAUCACAACGAGUCAUUAAAAUUUCGAUGGAACAACAGUACUACUGUGAUUUUGUCAAACUCUCUGAUAGACGGAUUUCAUGUUUUUUCGUCAAUUCAAGUAACAAGAUACAUUAUGUGACAUACAUAAUUGAAUAGAAAAUAUGACAUGUCAUGUCACAUACAUUAUGUCUAAUUUUAUAAUGUGUGACAUAGACACAGUUUAACUUUAACACCAAGUGUGUAAGUAUUGGAUGCUUGUACUACCAAAUAAUUUCUAGAAUGUUGCAUCUAAGAUAAUAGAUAAAAUGGAAAAUAAUAUGAUAUAUAACCAUUGGAUGGGUGUAUUAUGGAAUUUGGCAGCUGGAACACUGAACUCUGAUGAAGCAAGAGACCUUAAGCUACCAUUGAAAGAAAGGUUCUUCAUUCAACCAUUGACACCUACCGAGGCUGCUGCAAGAGCUAAGGAAUCAGCAAAGGAAAUUGUUGAUGCUAAGAAGUUCAUUGACCAGAAGGCCUGGCCAUAUCUUCAGAACGAUCUCCGUCUCAGGGCUGGCUAUCUUCGGUAUGACCUUAAAACUAUCAUCGCUUCAAAGCCUAAGGAUCAGAAACAAUCCCUCAAGGACCUCACCGGAAAGCUCUUCGAGGAUCUCGACAAUGUAAGUUUACAAUAUUACAUUUUCAAGGAUUAAAAUUGAAGUUGUGGCAAUGGUUGCAUCACAAUUCUUGAUACUGCAGAGAAUCACGUAAUUGGAUUGUCUGUAGUCAAUAACCACGUAUUCAUGCAGUCAACACAUAUGUGGAUAAUGAAUCGAGAUUGGGCAAUCUAGAUUUCAAGCUCGAUAUUUUAGAUUUUAAAAGAAAUCAACAUCUAAUUUGAAAUCUAAAUGGUCCAAUCUCGAUCCAACUAUACCACCAAUUUGCUGACUUCAGGCAAUCCAAAUUUGAGAAUCACGGUCAAUGACAGCUAAUAUUGUCUCAAUUGCGGUCACACUAUGGUUAACAACAUAAAAAACCAUGACGUUGUCUUAGAUUGCAGCCGCAAACAUUUUUUGAAAACCUAAUCCUAUAGCUCUUCAUCAAUUUAGAAUUGUAGAAAGAUUGGACUAAUUGAAAGUUUUCUUUUAUGUUCGCAGCUUGAUUAUGCAGCAAAACAAAAGAGCCCCUCAGAUGCAGAGAAGUACUAUGCUAUAGCUGUAUCUACUCUGAAUGAUGUUCUUAGCAAAAUUGGUUAAAUAUGAAUGAUUUCUUGCUUUCUUGUGUAAGAUUUGUCUAUGGUUUUCUAAGACACUUUAUGUUUAACUUCUAUUUGAAGAAAAUCAAAUGAGAGGAAAUUUGCUAUAAGCAAGCAGGAAAUUAUCAUCACUUCAUGCAAUUAGUAAACCUAUAUAUGGUGCUUCUGAUCAUGUGUUAGCUAACAUGAUUAGUAGAACUAAAUUUUCCACAAUUUAAAAUAUCGUUAUCCCCGUUCUCAUUUUCCACUUUGAGGAGUAUGCUACCUCAAUUUUCAUUUCCGCAGAUCGUCACAAUUUUCACGGGGAUUCAUCAACAUUAAAAAGGGUUAUAAAUAUCUCAAAUUUUGUUUUUAGUUUCUAUACAAAAUUUCAGCACCUUUUGGUCACUGGAAUAUUUUCUAUCACAACUUUCCGUACAUACUUUUAAAUUAAUUUUUGUGUACUUUCACAUUUUUGAAUAGUUUUUUUUAUUCAUGUUUAUAAUAUUAUAAGAAUCUCUCCCACAAAAAUUUAGAAUUUUUUAACAUAAGAUGAAGUAUUUAUGAAAUUAUAAGCACAAAAAACUAAAAAAAAAAAUAUUUAAUUCAUCAUUUGUUAAAAAAAAAUUAAACUUUUGCAAGAGAGAUUCAUAUAAUAUACCGAACAUGUCUGUAGAUUUUUUUUAAAAAAUUUUGAAUGAUAUAUAUGAGUUAAAUAAAAAGCAGCGACAAAAAAUCAUGAUAGAAAAUAUUUAAAGGACCAAAACUUGCUGAAAUUUUUUAUAGGGACUAAAAAAAAAAUUAAAAUAUUUAGAGAGACUAAAAUCAUAUUUAACCCUUAAAAAAUUAUCAAAUUCCUAUUAUUUUCAAUCAAACUAGUUGUAAAAAAAGUUUAAUCUUAAAACAAAUAAAAAAUUAAGACAUUAUUGUGAGUUUUGUGAGUUGUGACAAUAAUAAAUAUCACGUAAAAAUUAAAUUUUUGGACAUAUUGUGUGAAAAUAUAGGCACUGUUUGAUAAGUCCAAUAAGCUAGUUUAUAGCUUAUUGAACUAGCUUAUAAGCUUGUUUGAAAAAAAUAUGAAGUGUUUAGUAACGAGUUUCUCUAACUAGCUUAUAACAUUUUUUGAGAUGCUAUUUCAAGUAGCGUAUGAGCUUAUAGCAUAUAACUUUUUCAUUUUAUUCCAUAUUUAUCCUCAUUAUUUUAUUUAUUUAUUUUUUAAAAUUAUAAUAACUACCCACUAACCAUGUAUUUUUAUGUCAUUUUGUACUUACAACAGCUAAAUUUGCCAAACACUUUAAUUUUAUUAUACUAGCUUUUCAGCUAUAAGCUAUCAGCUAUCAGCUAUAAGCUAGCUUUUCAGCUAUCAACUAGCUUCUAGCUUAUUUUUACCAAACAGAGCCAUAAUGAAUAUGACACAUAAAGUAUUUAAAUAUACAUAUAUGAAAAUUAUUUUAAUAAAAUAUUCACGGACGGAGUCUCUGCAAAAUAGAGGAUAAAUUUCUCAUUUUCAGGUCCACAAACGGGACAAUCUCCAUGAGAAUCCUCAUAUCAAAUUGACAUCCUAGUAUCUCUACCCAUAUUGUUAUAUCCAUAUUGAUAAAUAAAUAGAUACAAACCAAUUUGCCACUAGGGAUGAAAGAUUUACACACAUGGAUAUACUUUUUUAUUUUUACUAAUAGACAAUUAAAGAUAUUAGUGAUCAAAAUUGUAUAUUGACGUACGAGCAGUGGUCAAACUAGGUCUUAUAUUUAGAGACGGAGAGAGUAUUUUAAAAUGACAUAAAAAUUAGUAAUUUAAUAAAAGUCAGUCAAAGUAAAUAAUUUAAGAAUAAUAAUAAUCGUUUUAUAUAAGGAAAAUAUAAACAGUAUAUUAAUUACAUUCAUGAUCCUACAUCAUAAUAUACAUUGGAUUCAAUGUAUCGAAGACUAGAAUUUAAAUAAAAAAUCUAAAAUCCAUUUUUGUAUUUUUUACAAACAAGCAAAAUUCUUUACUCUCACAACGACUCUUUCUAGUUUUACCCUUUUUUUUUUUUCUUUCUUUCUUUUUUCUUUUUCUAUUCUCCCCAAUUUUUCUCAUUGCAUACUAAUUCCCACUUGCUUUCCUCUAAUAUAUAUNNNNNNNNNNNNNNNAUAUAUAUGUUCCAUUUCAUCAUAUUUCUCACACUUCCUCUUCAAUUUUUUAUUUUUUUUAUACCAAAUUCUCAAUUUCUCUUUUCGUUUUGACUCAAAACAUGGUACUCAAUUCAGAUUCAAACAACACUACACCACCUAAUGAUCCCACCACACCUACAAACCCUCCACCUCCAUUGUUGUUGUCACGAGCAAUGGUGACAUCCGCCGCUCCAUUUUAUCUUAAUCCACAAAAUUCAACCUUUAGCCCUAACUUGACCACACCAAAUAGUUUUGGAUGGACUGGAAACAAUCC
rnacentral:lncRNA from 1 species